rnacentral:rRNA from 1 species
UACAGAGGCCUCGAGCGUUAGGCGGAAUCACUGGGCUUAAAGCGUGUGUAGGCGGAUUGGUAAGUACCUUGUGAAAUCCCACAGCUUAACUGUGGAACUGCUCGGUAUACUGCUGAUCUUGAGCCACUCAGGGGCUACCGGAACAAAUGGUGGAGCGGUGAAAUGCGUAGAUAUCAUUUGGAACGCCAAUGGUGAAAACAGGUAGCUGGGGGUGUGCUGACGCUGAGACACGAAAGCUAGGGGAGCAAACAGG